rnacentral:rRNA from 1 species
UACGAAGGGGGCUAGCGUUGCUCGGAAUCACUGGGCGUAAAGCGCACGUAGGCGGAUUGCUAAGUCAGGGGUGAAAUCCUGGAGCUCAACUCCAGAACUGCCUUCGAUACUGGAAAGCUCGAGUCCGGGAGAGGUGAGUGGAACUGCGAGUGUAGAGGUGAAAUUCGUAGAUAUUCGCAAGAACACCAGUGGCGAAGGCGGCUCACUGGCCCGGUACUGACGCUGAGGUGCGGAAGCGUGGGGAGCAAACAGGG